rnacentral:rRNA from 1 species
AAACUUAAGCAUAUCAAUAAGCGGAGGAAAAGAAACCAACAGGGAUUGCCCUAGUAACGGCGAGUGAAGCGGCAACAGCUCAAAUUUGAAAUCUGGCUUCGGCCCGAGUUGUAAUUUGCAGAGGAAGCUUUAGGCGCGGCACCUUCUGAGUCCCCCUGGAACGGGGCGCCAUAGAGGGUGAGAGCCCCGUAUAGUUGGAUGCCUAGCCUGUGUAAAGCUCCUUCGACGAGUCGAGUAGUUUGGGAAUGCUGCUCAAAAUGGGAGGUAAAUUUCUUCUAAAGCUAAAUACCGGCCAGAGACCGAUAGCGCACAAGUAGAGUGAUCGAAAGAUGAAAAGCACUUUGAAAAGAGGGUUAAAUAGCACGUGAAAUUGUUGAAAGGGAAGCGCUUGUGACCAGACUUGCGCCGGGCGGAUCAUCCGGUGUUCUCACCGGUGCACUCCGCCCGGCUCAGGCCAGCAUCGGUUCUCGCGGGGGGAUAAAGGCAUCGGGAACGUGGCUCCUCCGGGAGUGUUAUAGCCCGUUGCGUAAUGCCCUCGCGGGGACCGAGGUUCGCGCAUCUGCAAGGAUGCUGGCGUAAUGGUCAUCAGCGACCCGUCUUGAAACACGGACCAAGGAGUCAAGGUUUUGCGCGAGUGUUUGGGUGUAAAACCCGCACGCGUAAUGAAAGUGAACGUAGGUGAGAGCUUCGGCGCAUCAUCGACCGAUCCUGAUGUUUUU